AGCAGUCGCCACGGUAAUACGUAGGUGGCGAGCGUUGUCCGGAAUUAUUGGGCGUAAGGGGCUCGCAGGCGGUUUCUUAAGUCUGAUGUGGAAGCCCCCGGCUCAACCGGGGAGGGUCAUUGGAAACUGGGAAACUUGAGUGCAGAAGAGGAGAGUGGAAUUCCACGUGUAGCGGUGAAAUGCGUAGAGAUGUGGAGGAACACCAGUGGCGAAGGCGACUCUCUGGUCUGUAACUGACGCUGAGGAGCGAAAGCGCGGGGAGCGAACAGGAUUAGAUACCCGAGUAGUCCCUGUCUCUUAUAC
rnacentral:rRNA from 1 species